rnacentral:rRNA from 1 species
AGGGCGUACGGUGAAUGCCUUGGUGCCAACAGGCGAAGAAGGACGCGGCAAGCUGCGAAAAGCCUCGGGAAGCUGCAAGCAAGCGAUGAUCCGGGGAUAUCCGAAUGGGGUAACCUGAUCGAGGCAAUACUCGAUCGUUCAUACCUGAAUACAUAGGGUAUGAAACGCGAAACCCGCUGAAGUGAAACAUCUCAGUAAGCGGAGGAAAAGAAAGAGAAAUCGAUUCCGUAAGUAGUGGCGAGCGAAAGCGGAUGGAGCCCAAACCGAAGGUAUUCCUUCGGGGUUGUAGGACCACGUCAUAUUCGACCAUACUGGAUAGUAGAACAGCCUGGAAAGGCUGGCCGGAGAAGGUGAAAGCCCUGUAGACGAAAUCCAGAGUGGGAAUUAGUGGUAUCCUGAGUAAUACAUCACACGUGGAACGAUGUAUGAACCCGCGCGGACCACCGCGCAAGGCUAAAUACUAGUUGGCGACCGAUAGUGAACAAGUACCGCGAGGGAAAGGUGAAAAGAACCGCUGUGAGCGGAGUGAAAUAGAACCUGAAACCGUAUGUCUACAAAGUGUCAGAGCAGAGCAAUCUGCGAUGGCGUGCCUUUUGUUUAAUGAGUCUGCGAGUCAGUGUUUGUGGCAAGACUAAGGGCUUCCGGCCCGGAGUCGCAGCGAAAGCAAGUCCGAACAGGGCGCAACAAGUCGCAGGUACUGGACCCGAAGCGGAGGUGACCUACCCUUGGCCAGGUUGAAGCAUGGGUAAAACCAUGUGGAGGACCGAACAGGUGAACGUUGAAAAGUUCUCUGAUGAGCUGAGGGUAGGAGUGAAAGGCUAAUCAAACCCCGUGAUAGCUGGUUCUCUUCGAAAUGCAUUUAGGUGCAGCGUCACGUGCUGAUGCGCGGGGGUAGAGCACUGACAAGGCUAGGGGGCACACCCGCUUACCAAACCUUAUCAAACUCCGAAUACCGUGCAAUGGAACGUGGCAGUGAGACAGUGGGGGAUAAGCUUCAUUGUCGAGAGGGAAACAACCCAGACCAGCAGCUAAGGUGCCUAAAUAACGCUCAGUGGAAAGGAUGUGGGAUUACACAGACAGUGAGGAUGUUGGCUUAGAAGCAGCCACCAUUUAAAAAAUGCGUAAUAGCUUACUCAUCGAGUGAUCCUGCGCCGAAAAUGAUUGGCGAUCAAGCGUUAUACCGAAGCUCUGGACUUUGCCGCAAGGCAGAGUGGUAGAAGAGCGUUGCAUGCGCGUCGAAGGGCGAUGGCGACUGACCCUGGAGCACAUGCAAGUGAGUAUGCAGACAUGAGUAACGUUAAGCCGGGUGAAAUCCCCGGCCGCCGUAAACCCGAGGUUUCCAGGGCAACGUGUUUCGUCCCUGGGUUAGCCGGGACCUAAGCCGAGGCCGAGAGGCGUAGGCGAUGGACAUCAGGUUAAUAAUCCUGAGCUCGCAACCCUUAAACUGGGGGGACGCAUGAGAAAAGAUGACUAGGUUAUUGAAUUCCGAGUUGAGUCUACGGACUCAGCGCAUCAUUGGAUCGAGUGCCAAGAAAAGCCCCAGCGUAUGCUAAGCGACCCGUACCGCAAACCGACACAGGUGGGUGGGUAGAAUAUACCAAGGCGUAAGAGUGAAACCUGGUUAAGGAACUCGGCAAAUUAGCCCCGUAACUUCGGAAGAAGGGGUGCCUGCAGCGAUGCAGGCCGCAGAGAAAUGGCCCAACCGACUGUUUAUCAAAAACACAGCACUCUGCAAAGACGCAAGUCGAAGUAUAGGGUGUGACACGUGACCAAUGCCGAAAGAUUAAGGCAAGGGGUUAGCCGCAAGGCGAAGCUCUAAACCCAAGUCCCGGUGAAUGUCGGCCGUAACUAUAACGGUCCUAAGGUAGCGAAAUUCCUUGUCGGGUAAGUUCCGACCUGCACGAAUCGUGAAACGAGUUGGGCACUGUCUCAACCAGGCGCUCAGUGAAAUUGUAGUGGCGGUGAAGAUGCCGCCUACCCGCAGAAGGACGGAAAGACCCUAUAGACCUUAACUGUAAGCUGUCAUUGUUUCUUCGGUUUUAAUGCUCAGAGUAAGUGGGAGACGCUGAAGACGCCCUUUAGGGGGCGUCCGAGUCAUCAAUGAGACACCACCCUUUGAAACUGGAGGAUCUAACCCUGAGCCGUGAAUCCGGCCAGAGGACCGUGUCAGCCGGUCAGUUUUACUGGGGCGGUAUCCUCCCAAAGAGUAACGGAGGAGCGCGAAGGUGGGCUCAGCCCGGUUGGCAACCGGGUGUCGAGUGCAUGGGCAUAAGCCCGCCUAACUGUGAGACCAACAAGUCGAGCAGAUGCGAAAGCAGGCCCAAGUGAUCCGGCGGUAGAAAGUGGAAUUGCCGUCGCUCAACGGAUAAAAGGUACCUUAGGGAUAACAGGCUGAUCACGCCCAAGAGUUCAUAUCGACGGCGUGGUUUGGCACCUCGAUGUCGGCUCGUCGCAUCCUGGGGCU